UACGUAGGGUGCAAGCGUUGUCCGGAAUUAUUGGGCGUAAAGAGCUCGUAGGCGGUCUGUCACGUCGGGUGUGAAAUCCCCAGGCUUAACCUGGGAACUGCAUUCGAGACUGCAUUGCUAGAGUAUGGGAGAGGGAAGUGGAAUUUCCGGUGUAGCGGUGAAAUGCGUAGAUAUCGGAAGGAACAUCAGUGGCGAAAGCGACUUCCUGGACCAAUACUGACGCUCAUGUGCGAAAGCGUGGGGAGCAAACAGG
rnacentral:rRNA from 1 species